rnacentral:rRNA from 1 species
AUACGGAGGAUCCGAGCGUUAUCCGGAUUUAUUGGGUUUAAAGGGUGCGCAGGCGGCCAUUCAAGUCAGCGGUUAAAUCGUGGGGCUCAACCCCAUUCUGCCGUUGAUACUGGGUGGCUUGAUUGCGGUCGAGGUUGGCGGAAUUCGUUGUGUAGCGGUGAAAUGCAUAGAUAUGACGAAGAACACCGAUUGCGUAGGCAGCUGACCAGACCGCAAAUGACGCUCAUGCACGAAAGUGCGGGGAUCGAACAGGAUUAGAUACCCUGGUAGUCCGCACAGUAAACGAUGAAUACUUGUUUUCGGCGAUAUAAUGUCGGAGGCAAAGCGAAAGCGAUAAGUAUUCCACCUGGGGAGUACGCCGGCAACGGUGAAACUCAAAUGAAUUGACGGGG